AUGAAUCGACAACGGACCCUCUCUUGGGAAGUGAGUAAGAGCCGUCUUGUCAUCGAGUUCUCUCACGAGCUAGUAUCCAUCGCAACAAGUAGCACAAUAUAUUCUUAGCUGAAAUACAAAAAUAAUGAACCGAAUCCCAUCCUCAUCAGUCAUGAGUCCUAAUGUCCUAUCUCUCCAAGUCCGACCGCAACCUUUGGGCUAUACGACACCAUGAGCAAGAACAGGGAUGCCGCCGGCUUCAUCCCCAAUUCGGGCAAGACGACGAUGAACAGUUUGUGUAAUGGGGUAUGGUUCCUAUCCCCCUCUUCUCGUGUUGAGUUGCUGCGUUUGCUUGGCACUUUGCAGUGGUGGUCGACGAAGCGACGGGACGAGGCGUUGGUGGUGGUGGUGGUGAUGGUGGUGUGGCUGACAGAAGAGAGUGAGCAUGCAGCGGCAGACUGGAUCUAAAUAUGGUUGCUUCUGAAGAGAUACAAGACGAUGGAUGGAUGAAUGCCUAGACGCAGCUGUUGUUGCGUGCUCACUUCUUUUUCUGUGAGCUCUCUUCGGAAUAAGGCACUCUUAAAUUUUAUGGCAGCCGCUGCGCGAAUGCACGCCAUGGAUUCUCGCGCCGGGCAAUUUCUCUACGUUUUUUUCGGCGAGCUUCUCGUUGCCAUCUCUGUGCCUUCCGAUGAUGGAUUAUUAGCAGGGCCUUCAGCCUCGGGGGAAGAGGACGCGUGAUGGAUUAACACCGCUCUUUGCUCGCCUUCCCAGAUGUGUUUGACUUGUCGUCCUUGCUACCCCCUUCUCCCUCUCCUUUAGCCUCUCUCACUCUCACUUAUCUACUGUCCUUUUUUUCGCAAAGAUCUCACAGCAAAAAUUGCAUCUUUUUCCCUUUUGUUUUGCUCAUCUUAUGUGGUGCUCUGAGUGUUGUGAGGUAGGUGGGAGGCAGAUCUGCUUGGUUGCAAGUUGAAAGGGGGCACCUACCGGCGGCGAUGCCUUCAAGAUCUGGAAAUGUUUCUUCUCCGGUGCAUUCUUUCACCUGCUUGAAGUUGCGGAUGCAGUAUUUCCAAGUCUCCGGCAUCAUUUCAUGAAGUAUGACCUCAGCGAACUAGAUAUUACUGCAGAGUUCAGUGCAGCUGUGCAUGCAACCCAGUUAUCUGUCCUGGCAUACAAUAUGAGAGCUAUUCCAUUUCUGUAAGGCUAUUACUCGCCUUGCUUCUCAAUUUUCGUCUUCUCUAUUGCAUGCAUAGCUCGGUGUGCUUUGUUUUGAAAGUUAAUCACAGAAAUGAGGAAAAUAAAAAUUAUAUUAUUUUAUCUGAGAGAAACUUUCCACUGAUCUAAGUAUGAGCCGAAGCUAGGUUUGUUCCCAGUGAAGCCUAGGACAAUCCGUGUGCUUAAUAUUUCUGAAGUGGUGAUGAAUCUAUACUGAGACUUGUCGUGAACUGAUGAUUUAGGUUUGAAACCACACUAUCUUGUUCUCAGGGGUUUCAUUCCGUUUUUGGGAAUUCUGGCUACCCACUAGGACAUUGGUAACUGAUUGGUUUCAGUUUCUCUGGUGGAUAAGCCAAUUUCUUUUCCUUUGACAAGUUCAGCUGUGUCCUCAACUUGAUAUAGUAGCACUGGCCUCUAAAUUCUUUUGAGAUAGUGCACUCAGAUACUCUAGCUAGAACUGACCGGUUUUAAUUUUGAAUCCAGAAAUCCGCCGGUAUUUCUGGUUACAGUUUUUACAACCCUAGUACUGGUGAUCACCUUGAUUAUCUUUGUUCCAGAUUCUGCAGGUAAUGUACUUGUAGUCAAGGUGGUUUCUGUGUCUCAUACAAGUGCCAGGUAUAUGGCAUACAAGUGAAACUAGCUAUGUAUAAAUUACAUAUUGAAAACAGUCACUUGUGUUUUUUGCUUGUUGCAAAUAUCUUUUAUUAUUAAACAAAAUUGACAGAAGAACCUGUGACAUAUUUUUUGUCCUUGCUAUCUUCAUACUAUACAAUUCCCAAGUCAGAUCAUUCCAGUAUGCAGGUACUCAAUUUUCAUUAUGUCAUCUAAUAGUGAAACGGUCAAGCAAAAGUUCCUAGUAAUGUCCUAUAACCGAAUCAGUUUGUGCUUGUAUAGCUUUGGUUCCAACCAAGCAAUUGCUCUUUGAAGAACUGAGGUAGCGCGGGCCAUCGACCCCCCCCCCCCCCCCCAAAGAACGCGUGAAGCUUGCGUGCCUUGAUUGAAGCAAGAAAACAGAUUCACAACCUGGCUCAAAAUGGAGGAAAAGAGGAGCACACCGCACGUUGUCACUGGUACUGCUUGCUUACCAUGUAUAGAUUGUCUUCUCCAUUGUACUGUACGUUCUUCUGUCGAAGCCGUCAUGUAAAUUUUUGGGGCUGUUUACAAAGGGAUAAAGGUAUACUGUCACAGAAACAACAAAAGCAACAAAAGCAGGAGUGUCACGGAUGGUUUCUUAUAAACAUCGCUGUCAAAAUAGUCACAUGGGUUGUUAAGGUAUACGUGUCUAUAAUAUGACCAUCAUCUAGGU